GGAAACUUACGCUAAUACCGCAACUACCUACGGGUGAAAGCAGGGGACCUUCGGGCUUGCGCGAUUGAAUGAGCCGAUUCGGAUUAGCUAGUUGGCGGGGUAAAGGCCCACCAGGGCGACGAUCCGUAGCUGGUCUGAGAGGAUGAUCAGCCACACUGGAACUGAGACACGGUCCAGACUAAUACGGGAGGCAGCAGUGGGGAAUAUUGGACAAUGGGCGCAAGCCUGAUCCAGCCAUACCGCGUGGGUGAAGAAGGCCUUCGGGUUGUAAAGCCCUUUUGUUGGGAAAGAAAUCCAGCCGGCUAAUACCUGGUUGGGAUGACGGUACCCAAAGAAUAAGCACCGGCUAACUUCGUGCCAGCAGCCGCGGUAAUACGAAGGGUGCAAGCGUUACUCGGAAUUACUGGGCGUAAAGCGUGCGUAGGUGGUUGUUUAAGUCUGUUGUGAAAGCCCUGGGC
rnacentral:rRNA from 1 species